GGCGUCGCUUAUUUUGGGUAAGGAAGAAACCGUAUUUGAGGACACAUGUAGGCAAAAUGAGAGGAGAGAGGAAGAGCGUCUUCGGUUUGCUUUGGUUCUGUUCUCUCUUUCUCUCGAAACCUCUCCAUCUUCCUUUCCGAGAAGGCGAUUCUCUCUUCCUCCGUGGCUCCUCGACUUUCCGGCGAUAAUCCCUCUCUCCGUGGCUCGUCAGACGAAACGGAAUCGUCUCUCUCCGUGGCUCGUAGACGAAAGGACGAUUCUCUCUCUCUUCGUGGCUCCUCGAGGAAACGAAGCCAGACCUCUCUCUCUCUCUCUCUUUGGCUGACGGCGAGGAAGGAAAUCGUCAAUUAUCUCCCUCUCUAUGGGUCUCCUCGUCGGCGAAGGACCGCUCUCUCUCUCUGGGUGGAUAUACUGGAAUCGGAAGUGGCUCUCGUCGAUGGCGAUAUAUGGCUCUCUGUCGGUGGCUCUCCUCCACGGCGACGGAGCUCUCUGUCGAUGCCUCUCCUCGAUUCGUACAGAGAUCAACGUGAGAUGAAGGGAUCAGCUUGCGUUUCAUAUGUUCUGUGGAAUGAGAGGUUAGGAAGGUUCAUCAAUACAGGAUCACAAACUUGUUGUGAGAAGGAUCACAAACUUGUUGUAGAGUCACGGAGAGAGAUGAGAAGGAUCACGGUCACCAUCAAAGUCGUAGAGUGAAGAGUGAAAGAAUAGGCUGCAUACUGGUAUAAGGUAAUGGGACCACUCAUUACCAUCAAAGCCACGUACCAUGUUCCGUUUGAAACGAAUAUAAAACGUGGCAUUGGUAGUAAUGGGUGUUCCUGCUACCAUAUUGACUUGAAGAUUCACGGGACUUUCUGGUGUUGGCUUGUCUUGUAGUCAUGUCUUGUGUGGUGACGUCUUUUGUAUCAGUGUGUCACGGACUAGAUUCACGGGACUUGGCUUGUCUUUUGUAUCAAUGUAUCAGUGUAUCAGUGUGUCACGGGGCUUGUCUUGUAUGUCUUGUGUUGUAUCAUUGUGUCACGGACUUGUAGUGUCAUGUGCAAUAUGUUUUGUACUCUUAUUAUUUCAAGUAGUAUAAAGUAAUCGACCUUGUA